rnacentral:rRNA from 1 species
UACGUAGGUGGCUAGCGUUGUCCGGAUUUACUGGGCGUAAAGAGCGCGCAGGCGGUCGUUCAAGUCGAGUGUGAAAGCCCCCGGCUCAACUGGGGAGGGUCACUCGAUACUGAUCGACUUGAAGGCGGGAGAGGGAAGCGGAAUUCCCGGUGUAGUGGUGAAAUGCGUAGAGAUGUGGAGGAACACCGAUGGCGAAGGCAGCCCCCUGGGUCAAGAUUGACGCUCAUGCACGAAAGCGUGGGGAGCAAACAGG